GGCUUGGUGGCUCAGUUGGCAGAGCUCUAGAGCAUGGAUCCAGAGGCCGUGAGUUCAAGUCUCACCCAGGGCA